rnacentral:lncRNA from 1 species
UCCAGAUCUUUUUCCAGGUUGGCCACCCCCAGUACAAACCCAGGGGGUUCUGCUUGUCAUUUCUUGCCAUCAGAUCUUCCAAAUAAGCUGAGCCAAGAACAGAUUUUUCUUUAGGCAGAUAACACGAGUUCAGUCUGGCACAGUGUGGAGUUCUGGCUGUGAUCUGGCUCAGUCAUCAAAUCUUUGCUUAACAGGGCCUCCAACAGAAUUAAUUCAACGUAUAAACAAGAACUUCAGCACUUCACUACAUCAGAAUAAGCACAGAUUUGAACUUGAGAACUAAAUACACCUUUAAAAGCUUCCAAGCAUUUUAAUUGAUAAGCCACGACAGCAACAAAAACAACUUUCUGUACACAUACUACAAAAAUAUUUAAGGUAAAAUCAUCAAAACAAAAAAGAAAUCAGAUAUUUACAGAUGGAGAAUGUAUAAUAUGUGCUGAUUGUUCAGGAAUAACAAACAUCUUGUUGCAAAUUUUUCAUGUGUCCACUGGGAAGGCUUUUUUAAGUGUGCUAUUUGAUAAUUAAGUGCUGUUUCAUCAUCGUUACUCAUUUUCUCUGGUGACAAAUACAGAUCUUGGUCAAGUCUUCCAUUUGGGUUCAUCCAUUCAAAAUCCAACAGCCAAAUGAGGAAACUGUGAAGACAGACAUUUUUGUAUCAAAACAUUUCAUCAAUCAACAUCAAAUCAACACAUAGAAGAGGUGAUGCAGAACCUUAUCAGGAGCGUAUUCCAAACUCCAUGGUUCUGCAGAAGGUCUGUGUUUAUGCACUCAACACCCAAUGAAGGCCAGGAGUUCUCAUAAAAAGAACCUUCCAUCCAUAGAACUGCCUUGUAAAAAUCCUACCCUUAGAGGCUCUAGUUUCCUCAAGGGGCUGUCUGUGAAGCAUGGGGUGUCUGAGCAUGGAUAUUAUGUGUUACAACAAAGAUCAUCUUAGAUUUAGCCAUGUGCCCACCAACGGGAAUGCUAUCUGAAGAAUACGUACAUUUAUAAUAUUCAGGCUUCGAAGAGCUGAACAAACAGGGCAUUCAAAUGUACCCUGAAAUGGAUGCUAUGUGUACUGCCACGUGGCUAAUCUUACAUUGAAAAGAAACUUACCUCCCAGUACAUCUGGUCUUCAAAAUACUUGGAGACGGGGAUGGGCUUCCACAGUUUGAAGUUUAGGAUUAAACCUAGUUGUAAAAACACACAUAUUGGAUGUACAUCUACACACGUAUCAUGGAAAGGGGAAGGCUGUGUAACCGAAGGCUUCUUAAUAACACACAUCCAAAUGUAACAUAGACUAAAAGACAACAUCAGAACAAAACACUUCAGCAGAGCCCCAUGACUCAAGUUGACCUUAAGUACAGAGAAGCUUCUAAGUAAAAACCCAUCAAACAGCCUACCAGGCACUAAGGACACACAAAAAGUCUUUAACUUCCCCCAUGAAAGCUGUGUGUUUAAAGCAGACAGGCUUAGCAGCACUGUUAGUUUGGGUUUUCAGUAAAUGUAACCACUGAAUGAUUGUUUUAGUUGAGUGGUUUUUUUAAAAAACUCAUUAGCUCUUAGCUACACCUGAGCUAAUGCAAAGCUGCAGAUCAAUUAAAGCAUUAAGAAGAUCAUUUGAGAGUAUAUUUCACAGCAACUUUCACCUCAAACCAGAAUCAGCAACUUCAGAACUACUGCAGCUGCCAUAAAACCAACAGAAUGCCACGUGAGGAACACGUGAGCCUUGAUGGUCCCAAACCCCCCGCGACCAAAGGAGCAGUGCCUGGCUCACACAACCUGCUGACAUGAGUGGAACUCUGCAGAUCUACAGCAACUGGCCUAAAAAGUGAGAAGCUCCAGGUAGCAGUUUUCUGUCACCGAGAUAACACCAAAACGUAAAUGUAUUUUCAUCCUCACACAUCUCCUGUCUGUAAUCUGAAGGUAGCUGUUAAACAUCUGCAGAAUAAAUUUCACCAAUGAAAAUUGUUGCUGGUAGGUUACGUUGAAUACAUCUCUUCUUCAAGGCCUAUCCACGAAGAGUGCAUGGUGUUCAUGCUUCCGACUGUUUCUUCUACGUAAAGAUUUAUCCACAGAAGCACACUUUAGCACCCCGGUGACACUGAUGGCC